CAUUACUGAAAUGUAAUAACUUCUAUUGAAAGGUUCCAGAGUAGGCGCUACAACGCCGAAAUGACCUUCUCACCCUUGUGUACUCACUAUGUUGCUUUGGCGGGUCGACCUGGUUCCGACCCAGGCGGCCGGCGCCCCCAGCCUUAACUGGCCAGGACGCCCGGCUAAGUGCCCGCCAGUAUACAAAACUCAAGAAUUCAUUUUGUGAAGUCCUGAUAUAUCAUUUAAUUGAUUAAAACUUUCAACAACGGAUCUCUUGGUUCUGGCAUCGAUGAAGAACGCAGCGAAAUGCGAUAAGUAAUGUGAAUUGCAGAAUUCAGUGAAUCAUCGAAUCUUUGAACGCACAUUGCGCCCUCUGGUAUUCCGGAGGGCAUGCCUGUUCGAGCGUCAUUUCAACCCUCAAGCUCUGCUUGGUAUUGGGCAACGUCCGCUGCCGGACGUGCCUUGAAGACCUCGGCGACGGCGUCCUAGCCUCGAGCGUAGUAGUAAAAUAUCUCGCUUUGGAGUGCUGGGCGACGGCCGCCGGACAAUCGACCUUCGGUCUAUUUUUCCAAGGUUGACCUCGGAUCAGGUAGGGAUACCCGCUGAACUUAAGCAUAUCAAUAAGCGGAGGAAAAGAAACCAACAGGGAUUGCCUUAGUAACGGCGAGUGAAGCGGCAAUAGCUCAAAUUUGAA
rnacentral:rRNA from 1 species